GAUGAACGCUAGCUACAGGCUUAACACAUGCAAGUCGCAGGGUAACAUGAGGAAAGCUUGCUUUCCUUGAUGACGACUGGCGCACGGGUGAGUAACGCGUAUCCAACCUUCCCAUAACUACGGGAUAACCCGUUGAAAGACGGCCUAAUACCGUAUGAUAUCGUUUGCUGACAUCAAAUAACGAUUAAAGGUUUAGCGGUUAUGGAUGGGGAUGCGUCUGAUUAGCUUGUUGGCGGGGUAACGGCCCACCAAGGCGACGAUCAGUAGGGGUUCUGAGAGGAAGGUCCCCCACAUUGGAACUGAGACACGGUCCAAACUCCUACGGGAGGCAGCAGUGAGGAAUAUUGGUCAAUGGGCGAGAGCCUGAACCAGCCAAGUAGCGUGCAGGAUGACGGCCCUAUGGGUUGUAAACUGCUUUUAUGUGGGGAUAAAGUGCGUGACGUGUCAUGCAUUGCAGGUACCACAUGAAUAAGGACCGGCUAAUUCCGUGCCAGCAGCCGCGGUAAUACGGAAGGUCCGGGCGUUAUCCGGAUUUAUUGGGUUUAAAGGGAGCGUAGGCUGUCUAUUAAGCGUGUUGUGAAAUUUACCGGCUCAACCGGUGGCUUGCAGCGCGAGCUGGUCGACUUGAGUAUGCAGGAAGUAGGCGGAAUUCAUGGUGUAGCGGUGAAAUGCUUAGAUAUCAUGACGAACUCCGAUUGCGCAGGCAGCUUACUGUAGCAUAACUGACGCUGAUGCUCGAAAGUGCGGGUAUCAAACAGG
rnacentral:rRNA from 1 species